rnacentral:rRNA from 1 species
AUUGAACGCUGGCGGCAGGCCUAACACAUGCAAGUCGAACGAGUGGCGGACGGGUGAGUAAUGUCUGGGAAACUGCCCGAUGGAUGGGGAUACCUACUGGAAACGGUAGCUAAUACCGCAUACCAUCGGGUGUGCCCAGAUGGGAUUAGCUAGUAGGUGGGGUAACGGCUCAACUAGGCGACGAUCCCUAGCUGGUCUGAGAGGAUGACCAGCCACACUGUAACUGAGACACGGUCCAGACUCCUACGGGAGGCAUCAGUGGGGCAUUUUGCCCAAUGGGCGCUAGCCUGAUGCAGCCAUGCCGCGUGUAUGAAGAAGGCCUUCGGGUUGUAAAGUACUUUCAGCGAGGAGGCGUUACUCGCAGAAGAAGCACCGGCUAACUCCGUGCCAGCAGCCGCGGUAAUUC